AUUGAACGCUGGCGGCAUGCCUAACACAUGCAAGUCGAACGGUAACAGAACCAGCUUGCUGGUUGCUGACGAGUGGCGGACGGGUGAGGAAUAUAUAGGAACUUGCCUAGUAGCGGGGGAUAACCUGUGGAAACGCAGGCUAAUACCGCAUACGCUCUACGGAGGAAAGCAGGGGAUCUUCGGACCUUGCGCUAUUAGAUAGGCCUAUAUUGGAUUAGCUUGUUGGUGAGGUAAUGGCUUACCAAGGCAACGAUCCAUAGCUGGUUUGAGAGAAUGAUCAGCCACACUGGGACUGAGACACGGCCCAGACUCCUACGGGAGGCAGCAGUGGGGAAUAUUGCACAAUGGAGGAAACUCUGAUGCAGCAAUGCCGCGUGUAUGAAGAAGGCCUUCGGGUUGUAAAGUACUUUCAAUAGGGAGGAAACGCUUUGUCCUAAUAUGGCAAAGAUAUGACGUUACCUAUAGAAGAAGAACCGGCUAACUCCGUGCCAGCCGCCGCCGUAACAC
rnacentral:rRNA from 1 species